GGAGGGAUGGCAGAGUGGUUUAUUGCACCGGUCUUGAAAACCGACGUAGGUUAAUACCUACCCAGGGUUCGAAUCCCUGUCCCUCCGCCA
rnacentral:tRNA from 1 species